ACGAUCGAUACUCCUAUGCUAGCCUCUGACUCCUCAGGGGAGACAGCAGAGUGGUCGGACGAAACGCAACGAGUCGUCUCCAGCCCAAAGGCGACUCCACACCAUCCCAGCUGAAGACAGGCACGGGACUGAACCAGCUGGUGGUGGCCCAAUGGCUGGAGACACCCACUGCCCCGCAGAGCCCCUGGCCAGAGAAGGCACUCUAUGGGAGGCCCUCAGGGCGCUCCUGCCGCACAGUAAAGAAGACCUGAAGUUGGACCUCGGGGAGAAAGUGGAGAGGAGCAUGGUGACGUUGUUGCAGCGAGCCACUGAGCUCUUCUACGAGGGCAGGAGGGACGAGUGUCUGCAGACCAGCGAGGUGAUCCUGGACUACUCCUGGGAGAAGCUCAACACAGGCACGUGGCAGGACGUAGACAAAGACUGGCGCCGGGUCUACGCUAUCGGCUGCCUCCUGAAAGCCCUGUGUCUGUGCCAGGCACCUGAGGAUGCCAGCACUGUGGCCGCAGCCCUGCGGGUCUGUGACAUGGGCCUGCUGAUGGGGGCAGCCAUCCUGGGGGACAUCCUCCUUAAAGUCGCUGCCAUCCUCCAGACACACCUCCCUGGAAAGAGGCCUGCCCAUGGCUCCAUCCCGGAGCAACCCUGCACAAAGGCAGUGCCCUUUCAGCAGAGAGGCAGCAGAGAAACUUCGUGGUUCCUGAGGGAAACAGCUUAAAGCGAUUGUAAAGCAAGGGCGGACCAUGGUUUGAUUCCAGAUGUGAAGUUAGAAACAACAGUCCCCC
rnacentral:sRNA from 1 species